UAUAUCCUACGGGGCGCAGCAGUGGGGAAUCUUCCGCAAUGGGCGAAAGCCUGACGGAGCAAUGCCGCGUGAGUGAAGAAGGCCUUCGGGUUGUAAAACUCUGUCCUUAUCGAAGAGAGGUGGGUAUGUGAAUAAUGUACUCAUAGGACGGUAGAUAAGGAGGAAGCCCCGGCUAACUACGUGCCAGCAGCCGCGGUAAUACGUAGGGGGCGAGCGUUGUCCGGAAUCACUGGGCGUAAAGGGCGCGUAGGCGGCUUAAUAAGUCAGUGGUGAAAACUGAGGGCUGAACCCUCAGCAGGCCACUG
rnacentral:rRNA from 1 species